UACGAAGGGGGCUAGCGUUGCUCGGAAUCACUGGGCGUAAAGGGCGCGUAGGCGGCCGAUCAAGUCAGGGGUGAAAGCCUGUGGCUCAACCACAGAAUUGCCUUUGAUACUGUUCGGCUCGAGACCGGAAGAGGUAAGUGGAACUGCGAGUGUAGAGGUGAAAUUCGUAGAUAUUCGCAAGAACACCAGUGGCGAAGGCGGCUUACUGGUCCGGUUCUGACGCUGAGGCGCGAAAGCGUGGGGAGCGAACAGG
rnacentral:rRNA from 1 species